AACUUUUGGCAACGGAUCUCUUGGUUCCGGCAUCGAUGAAGAACGCAGCGAAACGCGAUAGCUAAUGUGAAUUGCAGAAUUCAGUGAAUCAUCGAGUCUUUGAACGCACAUUGCGCCCCCUGGUAUUCCGGGGGGCAUGCCUGUCCGAGCGUCAUUGCUGCCCAUCAAGCCCGGCUUGUGUGUUGGGCCGCCGUCCCGCCCCCCGGGGUGGGACGGGCCCGAAAGGCAGCGGCGGCACCGCGUCCCGGUCCUCGAGCGUAUGGGGCUCUGUCACCCGCUCUGGAGGCCCGGCCGGCGCCCGCCGACCCCCCAACCUUCUAACCAGGUUGACCUCGGAUCAGGUAGGGAUACCCGCUGAACUUAAGCAUAUCAAUAAGCGGAGGCU
rnacentral:misc_RNA from 1 species